CAGUUCUGUACUGCAGACAUGACAGAAGCUCCACAAGUCGGAGAUCCAGACCUCAAGCACCACGUUAUGAAGCUAGACAAGCUCACCUGAGUAGCUGCAGACUGACAGGAAGAUGACGAUGACGACGAGACAACAGGAAUGUCAGACUGUACAGCAGCCACAGUGGUAGCGGGUGUGAAAAUCAGCUGUACAGACAGAAAAACCAAAAAAAAAAAAAAA